rnacentral:rRNA from 1 species
GCGCAGCAGGCGCGAAACCUCCCCAAUGCCCGAAAGGGUGAGGGGGUCACCCCGAGUGCCACCCUCGUGGUGGCUUUUGCGGGGUCUAAAAAGCCCCGCGAAUAAGGGGAGGGCAAGACGGGUGUCAGCCGCCGCGGUAAUACCCGCUCCCCGAGUGGUGGGGACUAUUACUGGGCUUAAAGCGUCCGUAGCCGGCUGGGUGUGUCCCCCGUUAAAUCCACGGGCCUAACCCGUGGGCUGCGGGGGAUACUACCUGGCUUGGGGGUGGGAGAGGGCGGCGGUAUUCCCGGGGUAGGGGUAAAAUCCUCUGAUCCCCGGGAGGACCACCAGUGGCGAAGGCGGCCGCCCAGAACACGCCCGACGGUGAGGGACGAAAGCUGGGGGAGCAAAUGGGAUUAGAUACCCGCGUAGU